rnacentral:rRNA from 1 species
GAAGUGUGGACGCCAGUCUGCAUGGAGCCGACCUUGAAAUACCACCCUUUAAUGUUUGAUGUUCUAACGUUGACCCGUAAUCCGGGUUGCGGACAGUGUCUGGUGGGUAGUUUGACUGGGGCGGUCUCCUCCUAAAGAGUAACGGAGGAGCACGAAGGUUGGCUAAUCCUGGUCGGACAUCAGGAGGUUAGUGCAAUGGCAUAAGCCAGCUUGACUGCGAGCGUGACGGCGCGAGCAGGUGCGAAAGCAGGUCAUAGUGAUCCGGUGGUUCUGAAUGGAAGGGCCAUCGCUCAACGGAUAAAAGGUACUCCGGGGAUAACAGGCUGAUACCGCCCAAGAGUUCAUAUCGACGGCGGUGUUUGGCACCUCGAUGUCGGCUCAUCACAUCCUGGGGCUGAAGUAGGUCCCAAGGGUAUGGCUGUUCGCCAUUUAAAGUGGUACGCGAGCUGGGUUUAGAACGUCGUGAGACAGUUCGGUCCCUAUCUGCCGUGGGCGCUGGAGAACUGAGGGGGGCUGCUCCUAGUACGAGAGGACCGGAGUGGACGCAUCACUGGUGUUCGGGUUGUCAUGCCAAUGGCACUGC